UACGCUAAAGUGCGUUUCAGAGCUCUUCAGUGACUUGUGUUUACUGCGAAACAGAUUGGGCAUACGCUUCACCCGUGCAACUUCGUCAUGUGCUCCACGGCAGCACAAGCCUUUACGGCUGUGCCACUAUGUGUGGAAACGUCGUAGCGGAUGAAUGUGAAUUAUGGAUCUCCAAGUGGCGUCGCCCGCGUCAUUUUCAAGAUUUUACCCGUUUUGAAGGCAAUAGGGCUGUUGAUAGGGAGAAUGCGAGGCUACUGUAGACUGCAACC